GCAGUCGCCGCGGGAAUACAGAGGGUGCGAGCGUUAAUCGGAUUUACUGGGCGUAAAGCGUGCGUAGGCGGCUUUUUAAGUCGGAUGUGAAAUCCCUGAGCUUAACUUAGGAAUUGCAUUCGAUACUGGGAAGCUAGAGUAUGGGAGAGGAUGGUAGAAUUCCAGGUGUAGCGGUGAAAUGCGUAGAGAUCUGGAGGAAUACCGAUGGCGAAGGCAGCCAUCUGGCCUAAUACUGACGCUGAGGUACGAAAGCAUGGGGAGCAAACAGGAUUAGAUACCCGAGUAGUCCCUGUCUCUUAUAC
rnacentral:rRNA from 1 species